rnacentral:tRNA from 1 species
GCCCGGGUGGCGAAAUGGUCAGACGCGGGGGACUUAAAAUCCCCUGACCGCGAGGUCAUGUGGGUUCGAUUCCCACCCCGGGUA